AAAAAAAAAAAAAAACUGUUCACAGAGCAAUUUUGUAGUAAUUAAUAUUGUUCACACGCAUAUUUGUGUAGAAACUACUGUUCACAGCAGAAUUUGGUGCUUUUACUUUGCAAAAUAGUGUAUUCGUUCAUGUUUAGUCUUAAUUUUGAUGUUAAUGGAUUUUAUACAGUUGAUAUUUUUCAUUUCAAUUGAGUUUUAGGCACUACCAGUCAUUUUGUAAUGCAUUUUUAAGUUUGCAAGACUAUUAUGCCUUUUAUUUAUUCUGCUGAAAACUGCACAACCUACUACACAACUUAUACAGUUUUACUGCUACAGGUUUAAUUCUUCAAAAUUUACUAUUCAUAGUGCAUAUUUCUACAGAAUAUCUGUAUAAUUUACUAUUCACGGCAGUUUUU
rnacentral:misc_RNA from 1 species